CCAGGGGGUGAAAGGGGCGUGUUCCCAAAUCAGUUGGGAUUGGAAGGUGUUUGUUCCUAAAUCACUUGGGAUUGAAAGGGGUUUGUUCCUAAAUCAUUUGGGAUUGAAAGGGGUUUGUUCCCAAAUCACCUGGGAUUUUUAACCAGGGUGUGAAAGGUGUUUGUUCCUAAAUCGGUUGAGGAUUUUUACCCAAGCUGUGAAAGGUGUUUGUUCCUAAAUCACUUGGGAUUUUUAA